rnacentral:pre_miRNA from 1 species
CACCUCAGUCACCAUUGUCCGAUCUGGAUGUUUCUCUGAGUCAUACUCGUUGUGAUAUGACUAGAGACACAUUCAGCUUGGCUACGUGACCAUAUCGUGGCUA